GGCCAGUUAGCUCAGUUGGUUAGAGUGUGGUGUUGUAAACACCAAGGUCAGGUGUUUGAAUCCCUGUACUGGCCA